rnacentral:rRNA from 1 species
UGAUCCUGGCUCAGGAUGAACGCUGGCGGUCUGCUUAACACAUGCAAGUCGAACGGGCUCUUCGGAGCUAGUGGCGGACGGGUGAGUAACGCGUGAGAAUCUGCCUUCAGGAGGGGGAUAACGACUGGAAACGGUCGCUAAUACCCCAUAUGCCUCCGGGUGAAAAGUAAUUCGCCUGAAGAUGAGCUCGCGUCAGAUUAGCUAGUUGGUGGGGUAAGAGCCUACCAAGGCGACGAUCUGUAGCUGGUCUGAGAGGAUGAUCAGCCACACUGGGACUGAGACACGGCCCAGACUCCUACGGGAGGCAGCAGUGGGGAAUUUUCCGCAAUGGGCGCAAGCCUGACGGAGCAAGACCGAGUGGGGGAUGACGGCCUAAUGGUUGUAAACCCCUUUUCUCUGGGAAGAAGACUGACGGUACCAGAGGAAUCAGCCUCGGCUAACUCCGUGCCAGCAGCCGCGGUAAUACGGAGGGGGCAAGCGUUAUCCGAAAUUAUUGGGCGUAAAGCGUC